CUCCAGGUUGUCCUUGUCAAGCACUGGGGUCACAGAUGUGGAAAGCUGACUAACCCACACCCUUACAUCAAGGACACCUGCAGGAGUUUUUAGAAGCACAGAAGCAGCACGUUGUCCAUUGGCUCCCAGCGGCACGGGGGGGGAAGGUCUGGGUACAGACAAGGAUGCACACGGGGGAGACGGUGACGGGGGUCCAGCUGGAGACCACGUGGAGAUUCUCUCUCCUCGUCUGACAGCUUUUUUCGGAAGCCUGGAAUUAAGUCAAGAUAAACAGCUAGAAGAAACCACGUUUCCCCUGGAGAAGGCAACCCGAUUUCAUCUGGAGAGCAGUUGGCUUUGUUGUGCAGCCUGCGGGGCCUGAAGAGGGUGACAUGGGGACACCACGGCCAGCUGCAGCCUGCUGAGCGUCCCUGGGUGUCCCUGCAGGGGCGCGGGAUGGCUCCCCAGCCUGUGGUUCUCAGAGUGCUUUGGUGGUUUUUUUUCCUUUUCAGCUGAGAAAAUUUGAGUUCCUCUAACGCCCACAGACAAUUUGGACUGUAUCUAAUCCAGCCAGAGCCGGGCAAAGCAAUGUUUCAAAUUCCUAAUGGGCAGGGUGAUUCCUUUCUGAUUGCUACUGAGUCUAAUUGAACAGCAUUACGAACCGACUCCAGUGGCUGAUCACCUGGGUCUGCAACAACUCUGCACCUCCUAUUCCACAUCGUUUUCCUCCAACUAUCAAACAUUCUAAUGGGGAACAAACAAAGGAAUAAUGGCAUUUUUGCCUGACUUUUUACAAGGUAAUCCCACUUUUUUUUUUCCUAUCGGGGUAUUGAAUAGGGAAUAUUUUUUAAAGGACCAAAGCCUUUACCUCGAGGUGAUGUUCUGGACCUGAGGUGAUGUUCUGAGAUUAUGGCAUGAAGGAUUAUUUUGGUGAUAAAGGAACUAAUAUCUAUCCUAAAGAUUGAGAACCAAGAUAUAAAGAAACAAUACACUGGUCUUUUUUGCUGAAGAGGCCAUUUGUUAAUGUUGGUGAAUUCUUACAUUAUUUUACAUCUACUUGGUCAGCCCUCUGGACCCAGGGCUUCCGCAUCCUCAGAUUCAACCAACUGCAGACUGAACACAUGCCCAGUUCCCCCCAAAAGGAAAAAAGGUGCAUCUGUACAGGACAUGCACAGACUUUUCUUGUCAUUGCUCCCUGUACAAUGUGGAAUAAUAACUAUCACACAGCGUUCACACUGCCUCAGGCGUUUUAGGUAACCUAGAGAUGAUUAAAGUACAUGGGAGGACUGCAGGGCUUAGAUGUGAAUGUGACACCAUUUUACCCAAGUGCCUGGUCACCCGCAGACUUCAGUGUCCUGGAACCAGCCCAGAGUGAUGGAGAUAGCCAUGGACAGACCGUGGAGAGAGAUCAAGUCCCGGGGAGGGAGCGGGAGGUGGAGCAGGAGGCAGAGCGUCAACUCCUGCUGGAGGAGGUGUCCAGAGUGGAGUCAAGGGAGGCCAGGAACGCACCAAGAAGACUCGUGGGCAGAGCGGCAGGCAGAGUGUCCACAGACGGGGCACAGGGGAGGCUGAGGUGGGAGCAGGUUUGCGGGAGACUGGGAGGUGAGUCUGGGGUUGGCCAGUCACCGAUCAGGAGCAGGAUGGGUUCUGCAGGCCAGGAUGAAGGGUUGAGUAAAGGGAGGAUCUGGAGGAUGUCACUAUGGCAGGGACAUGGUGUCCUGCACAUUUUACAAACGAGUUUACUUAGAAAUAGGUUUGGUUUAUAGAAGAGCUGGGAGGACCCCCCCAGCUUCCCUGUGUGUGAACAUCUUCUGUAACUGUGGAACGUGUCUCAGAAUCUCUAGGGUUCUCAGGGUUCUGCCCCUCACCGUGGAAAACAGGUGUGCACUGAGAACAAUGGCCAGCGUUCAUCCAGCCUCAGUGUGUCCAGGGCUGUCGUGAGGGCGAGUCCUCACCCAGUCACCGGAGUAUGGGGAAGUGUUUCUCUCUUACCCAGUUUCACAGCCGUCUCCUCCUGUCCAGGUUCUGCCCAGCCCUGUGGUAGCAGGAGAGGGACAAGAAAAGUGAGAGGGGACAGAAUGAAUCAGAGGGAGACGCAGGCUGGGUGCUAUGGCUUGGCUGUGAGGUGACCCCAAAAGCUCAAGUGCACAGCAAAGUGAAGCCGACUGAACACUGGGAGAAGGCUCCAGUCGGAAGACAACAACAGCGUCGCAGAUAACAGCACAAACUCUGGCACCCCCACAUUAUGGGAACAUCAAAGCCUGUGUCACAUUCAAGUGCUCAUGGCAGACCCUCCCACUGGCCAACUGCGACAGGAAGAGGCUGCAGCCGACCCCCUGUGGCCCGAGGCUCCGAUCUCACCCACAGACAAGCCGCGGAGGAGGAGCAGAGCUGUUCCAGCCCACGGAGGUCCAGUGCAGAGGCUCCUGAGACCCGGUCGGUCUGACCUGGUUCCUGUUACUGUGACCCGCCUCGUCCCUUCACUCUCUUUUGUCACACCACGCAGUUAGCUUGGGCUUCCUCCCCAGGCAGGAAUUCACCCAGGACAGUUGGGGUGUCUGGAUUUCUGACAGGACAGCCCAGGGCCACUGCCUUAGGCCCACGGGCAUCUUCAGCACCAGACCCGGCACAGUGUCCUGUCCCCUGUGGUCAGUGGGUGACAGCAGACCCAGGCCAGCCAAGAUGCAAGGGCCAUAAAACCUGCCCCUUGGUGGCCGGAGUCCACCGGCAGCUGGGUUGAUCUCCUUUAUGACAUUUAGGUGUGUUUCAUGCGAAACGUGGAGGCGGUGCCGUGACUUACGGAGGGCAGCGGGGGGAGGAAGGACACCCAGGCCACUGGCACAGGUGCUCCCGUGGCCUCGCGGCUGACUUGGAAUUGGUCUCCAGGGCCUCCUGAGCUGGGCAGCCCGCCGUGAGCAGGAGGCGAGGGGCACGUCUGAAGAAUACCCGGCCUGGGCCCUUCCCCACGGGCUCUCUCCCUGAUGGAGCCUCAGGGCGGCCCUCUGAACAUCUCACGGCUCAGGGCAUUUGUCUGGAAGGCCGCGACCCAUGGAUGUUUUAAUGAUUCCCCUUCCCACAUGGCGAGGGCUGACUGAGGACAGUUCACUGGCCGGGGUUGAAGGAGGAAGCAUGGCAGCCACACCCCAGGGCAGGAGACGGCGACCUGCUCCUGGGACACAGGGCGCUGACCUCCCUCACACGCCCAGGCUCAUGCAUCCCAGGGUCUUUCCCUCCUCUCUUCAGAGGACUUGCCUGCCCGCCCAGACGAAGGCCCUGUCUGUCUGUCUGUCUCUCUGGAGGAGAGGAGGACAGAGGAGACAGUUACUCUCUGAGAGCAAAGUGCUGUGUGAUCUCGGGGCUCCUCUUUGGCUGGGGUAGGUCAGAUGCCCAGCUAAAAUGCAGGAACAUCCCGGGUGCCUUCUUCACAACAGGGAGGCACAAGGCGCUCUGGCUUUCAUCCGAACCUUCAAGGAGACAGUAAUCAAAGUACCAAAGAACCACUGUUCCAUCAACUACUACAGUUUCUUGAGGAAAAGGACAUUGUCCUAAUACCUACAGGGUGUCGCACAGUGCUCAAUCAAAUUAGAUUCACUGAAAGAACAGAAAAGCGAGUUGUAUUGUCCUCUACCCAUGUUCUGUGCCUCCUGCCGUAUAAGUGUGUGACAUUUAAAUAUAAACCCAUAAGCCACAUGCUCAUAGGAACAGAUGCACACUAGACAAAAUUAUAUUGGUAAGCAUUACGUUCUGAUAAAGUUCUAUAUUAGGAAACACACACAAUUGUAUGGUAAAAUGGAAAAUAAUUUUGUACAUCACAACAUUUACUGUGAGGAAGAGAUAUGAACUAGAAACAGAGAUCAGUGUGAGCUCUCUACUUAGCAUACGGCCUUAGUUACACUAAACCCUCAUUUUGCAUCUAGACAUUUUAAAUUCUAAGAAUUUUAAUUUGUCUUUUUAGCAAUGAGAGGCUAAAGUCAAACCCCCAAACAUACACAGGAUUUUGAGUGUUUUUCUUUUUUCAAAGAAUGAUAUAGAGGAUUUUUAAAUAAUAUAUAUUAUCAAAUGACA